CAAUCUCAUCACUAUUUUCUAUCGCGGCAUAAGCGCCGCAGUCAGUCUUUCUUUUCGUCGAACUGGCUGUGGCGGUGUACCAUUUCUUUUGGAUUGAAGCUUUGGGCUGGUUCCUUCGCAUUUAAUUACGAAACAAUUUCUUUAAUCCAGAUAUGAGGUCCCUCGUGCGCUUGGCGGCUGGAGCGCGCCAGCUUUCCACGUCCGCUGCCAGACAGGGUGGCGUUGCCGAUUAUGGCGGUAUUCCCAUGGCGAACUGGCCGUUCAGUGUGAAGAACAGGUUUGCUCUCACCCUGGGAUUCGUCCUGUUCUGUGGCAGCGGCUUCUCAGUUCCGUUUGUCAUGGUUAGGCAUCAGCUGCUGAAGAAGUAAAAUAUGUCUGCGGGUAUGGUGGAGUGAUGAGUAAAAACACAUGCAGUGUAUAUAAUCGAACGCUGAGCGAUACGCCGAUCCAAUACAUGUCUCCAAACUA